rnacentral:rRNA from 1 species
CCGAAGGGUGACGAAGCGACGCCGCGUGGGUGAGGAAGGCCUUCGGGUUGUAAAGCCCUGUCAGGAGUUAAGAAAUGUAAGUGCGCUAAUAUCGCAUUUAUUUGACGAAGGCUCCAAAGGAGGUCACGGCUAACUCUGUGCCAGCAGCCGCGGUAAUACAGAGGUGGCAAGCGUUGUUCGGAAUUAUUGGGCGUAAAGAGCACGUAGGUGGGUUUGUAAGUCAGAUGUGAAAGCCUUCUGCUCAACGGAAGAAUUGCAUCUGAAACUGCGAGUCUUGAGUGUAGGAGGGGAGAAUGGAACUUCUGGUGGAGCGGUGAAAUGCGUAGAUAUCAGAAGGAACGCCGGCGGCGAAAGCGAUUCUCUGGCCUAUUACUGACACUCAGUGUGCGAA